UGCGUAGGCGGAAUAGUAAGUCAGGGGUGAAAGUUUGCGGCUCAACCGUAAAAUUGCCUUUGAUACUGUUAUUCUUGAGUACAAUCGAGGUAGGCGGAAUGUGAUGUGUAGCGGUGAAAUGCUUAGAGAUGUCACAGAACACCGAUUGCGAAGGCAGCUUACUAGAAUGUAACUGACGCUGAUGCACGAAAGCGUGGGUAUCGAACAGGAUUAGAUACCCUGGUAGUCC
rnacentral:rRNA from 1 species